ensembl:lncRNA
CUGUGGGUGGGGCCUCUGGUCGGGUGUCCAGGAAGAGCCCCAGGGUGACGGGGUGUCCAGGAAGAGCCCCAGGGUGACGGAGGGAAGGCUCGCCGGCUAAGUCCAGUGUUACUCAAUUUCCUUUUUGGUGUUGUUCUUGAAACGGGCUCCCAUGUAUCCCAGGCUGGCUGAAAACUUUUUAUGGAGCCAAGGAUGACCAGAGCGUCUUCUCUUCCUGAUUCCUCAAGCUGACUGCUAGAAUCACAGAGGCUCUCACUGGACCUGGAGCUCACUGAGUGGCUACACUGACUGCUUCAUGUAAUGGCUUCUCUGGGUCUCCAUGCAGGGACUGCCCUGUCACAAGCCUGGGAUCAGUAUCUUUCCUUAGCCACAGAGGAAAAUCCCACAACCCUUUACUCUGUAUCAUGACUCUAAGGAUAGAACCAUGUGACUGAAGCUGUCAAGUACUGAUGCCCACUUGGGAUGAAGUCUGGCUUCCUCGUUGAAUUACAUUUGUAUAAGAUGCUUCCUCUGCCACCCCCCCCAUCUUGGAGUCUGUUAUCCUGUACACAGAAUCAGCUGAGAGAGGAGAGAGACACUCAGUGUAGAUACAGAAUUCAAGAUACAGAAUUUUCAGCUGCCUCUCCUGCAUCAUGUCUGCCUUCAUGCCACCAUUUAUCUUGCCAUGAUGAAAAUGGACUACACCUCUGAACUGCUGAUUGACAAGUCCAGCAGAAAGCCCAUUCUGCUGACUCACUUGCUCAGCAAAAGCAUCCUCUAGAAAUGUCUGCAGGGCAGGAGACUUGAGUCACUUUCCCACACUGGGGAGGUGACAUUCUCUUGUAAGAAGUGAAGACUGUCUUUUGUAGAGACAUAACUUGAUGGGCUCUUUGGCAUAAUGGUGACUCUUGAACAGCUAAUAAAAUAAGAACGUGAAGUUGGUCUUCAAAACUAUUAUAAAAUGUUGAAACAGAGAUUAUCUGAGUCCUAUGUAGGAGAAAUUGGAGGUACUGGAAGAGCCGAAGAGAUAAAAAGGGUCUGGAAAAAAGCAGAACUGUGGACAAUGAUUAGCCACUGCCCUGCAGUCAGUCCAAGAAUAUAAGAAUUCAGUUCUAAACGAAUGGCUGUCCUAUCUUGUAGACCUCUUGUGCAUAGCCUAUACUGAAUCCCUAGUAAAAGCACAACCCACAGUCUCCCGGGUUCAGUUGUGAUGUAAAGGACUCUGGUGUGGCCAGAUGGGAACAAAGUUGCGAAGACCAAGGGCAGAAGCUCUUUUAGUGGGAUGAUUCCAUGUGUGAAACUGUAGCAGGGAGAUGAUAUCCUAUGACUGGUGAAAGCACUGACACAGAAAACUGAACCAUAUGGAAAUUUGGAGAGACAUCACCAGUUGUUCUAUGCUUCUGGAGUGAUGACUGGAUUUUCGGAGUAUGUGGAAAGGAACUUAAAUGUUAAAGACAAUGAAGUGUCAAGAAGUUGGCGGUAAUUCUCCACGGUUAAUCACAUGACCUUGUGGCAACUGUAUCACUUUACAAUUGUGACAGCUUCACGUCUGUCAGCAUCUUCUGCACAGUAUUAUCAUCUCAUUGUAGGAACAAAGAGACCUCACAACCUUUUAACAUGUCCACAGCUGCUGCCUUAGGCCACAUGCUUAAUAAUUAUGUGUGGGUUACAACAGGUUAAGUUGAUUGGACUUGUUCUCCACAAUGGUAAGAAAACACAUCACAUAUCAUUUUGAUUACAAAAUAUGAUAUGUGGAGUCAAAAGCUUUUCUAGCAUAGAACUCACUUUUAAAAGUUGUAAUGUAUUAGGAAAACGAAUGAAAUGACCUGAGCAGACCUGCCAUAAGAUUAAACUAUUUCCCCCAGUACUUUAGUAAAGAAUAGGCUUAGAGCAUUGCUUUUCUGGCUGUUGAAUUAUAGUUUGUAGAGUUUAAAUGUAUUAUGAUCCAGGAUUCCUCUAAUGUUUUCCUCUUCUGUAUGCUAUAUAGCAGGAUAAGUUAUGUAAAGAUAGGGGAAGGUUAUUCAUUGAGCUUCCAAUCUAUGUUUAUUUAGGACAGAAUAAAUUAUAUCAUGAAGUAUGCAAAGGGCAGCUAUCUAAGAUAUUUGGAAGCUUAUAAUUCAUACUACUCAGAAGUUAUUCUGUCAUUUUAAAAUUAUGAUUUAGGAUAGGAAACUAAUGCACAGAACUAUAUAACUUAAUUCUUAUCUAGUACAAAGAGGCAGUUUGAGGGAUUUAUGACUCCUCGUGUUUACUCCCUAGCCUUCGGAGGCUGAAGUCAGAACAUAAAUGGGUGGGCAAGACUAUAGUCAGGUAGAAGAAAUAGCCUAUCCUCUAAAUGUGAACCGCCCUUUGCCUCACAGUCUCUGAACUUGUGGAACUGGAAAAGUGAAGACUUUUGUAGUGGGCAGUGCUCUUAAGUGACUGAGGACGUGACGGGUCUUGUGCUCAUGAAGCUGGAUCUAGGUAGUGAGGAAUUGAAGGCAGGAUUCCCAUGUGGAUUAAAAAUAAUAGUUACUGGAAAUUUUCAUCUCAAUGUGCUGCGUACUGGGGUUCUGGACACAUCCAGUGUAUUUCUAGAACCUUCCCUUCCUUCCCUCCACCCUUCUCUCUUUCUCCCUUUCUCUCUUUUUCUCAACCCUCCCUCCUUUCCUUUCUUCCUUUCUGUACCCUCUCCUUCUCUCUUCUUCCCUCCCUUCCUUUGCCAUUUUCCUUCCCAUUCUUCCUUUCUUCCAUCCCUUUUCCUCCCUUUUAAAGAUUUUUUUUAGUUGACACAGCAUUAUAGGAGACAGUAAGCCACGCCUGUUACAGGCUGGCUACAGGUAUGCCUUACUGUCCCCUACAAUUCCCCUUUAAUAGCUUGGGAUAAAGAUAUCCUUUAUUAGAAAAACACCAGCCAAACGCAAGCCAGAUUAUGCCAGUAGCAGCAAGGCAGGGAGGCCAGAGAGAAAAGGGGCUCCCAUGUACUUUGCCGUCCCUUAAGAACCCCUCACUCAUCAUCCUGACCUCACCUUGACCACGCCCUGACAGGUGUAGUCAGGCUCACCUGUAGCCAGCCUCUAACAGGCAUGGCUUACUGUGCCCUACACAGCAUCACUGUGUGUAGCCCAACUAGCAUCUAAUUAUCUUAAACUUCUGAUCCUGUUGCAUUUGCCCCCCUUGGAUCAUAGGUAUAUACCAGCAUGCUCAGUUUAGGAGCACUAUUGUUUUGUUGUUGUUUGGAGCCUUGUUCUUAAUAAAGUACUCGAAAUGAAUAUUAGCCAUCUGCUGUAUUGAUUAGACAAACAACAGCUAUGUGGAGUAGCAUACGUUGUCAAAUAUAAGAAUAUGAAUUAACUAGCACAAUUAAGUUACAAUGCCUAUUCAAAUAUCCCUCCUCUGUAACUGUACUUUUGGUGUUGAUGAGUGUCUUGAUUAUCAAGUGUAUAUAUUUUCCAGAAACACUUCAGUUUGAUUGAACGGAGGACAAAAGAUUCACUAUGUGUGAAGGGAUCUGAGAAAACUACUUGAUGUUCAAUGUCUUGACCUCUAAUGAGGACAUAGUAGGGUAUGUGUGUGAGUUUCUGUUUCACAUGCAUGCCACAGUGUGGUCAAGGACAACCUCAGGUGUCAGUUUUCGCCUUUUAUCAGAUCUUUUUGUUGUUCCUCACUGUAUAUGCCAGCUUCCAAGGGUUCUAUCUCAACAUGGGACCACUGGGAUCACAGGCAUGUGCUACUUACUGCAUCCAGAUCUACAAACAUUCUGGGGAUCUGAACACAGGUCUUGACAAUUGUGUGGCAAGCCCUUUAUAUGUUGAACAAUUCCUGUAGUGCAGAGUACAUGAAUUUUAUUUACUCAUUCAUAUGGUAAAUGUUUCUCAGAGUAAGAACUUACUAAGCAGCAGGUUUUAGAAUGGUAUUGACCUUAUGACAGUGAACAGUAUGGUCCUAUCAGGCUGUCUGACUUAGUUGGGGUUAGUAUUGCUGCGAUGAAACACCAUGACCAAAAGCAACUUUUCGAAGAAAGGGUUUAUUUGGCUUACAUAGUCACAAUCUAUUGAGAGAAGCCAAUGCAGGAACUCAGACUGGGUGGGAACCUAAAGGUAGGAACUGAUACAAAUGCCAGAGGCUUCUUACUGUUAUGGUCAUCAUAACUUGCUCAGACUCCUUUUUCUCAUAGAAGACAGGACCAUCAGUCCAGGGGUGGCACCACCCACAAUGGGAUGGGCCCUUCCUCAUCAAUUUUUAAUUAAGAAAACGCCCUACAGAAUUUCCUAAAGCCUGAUCUUAUGGAGGCAUUUUCUCAAUUGACGUUCCCCUUUUCUAUUUAUGAUCUUGGGAUCAUGUGUGACCUCACAUAAUAAGAAUAAUUAAAGAAAACAUUAAGUUAUUGUUCAUCUCUACUUUUUUGUUUCUCUUACAGCACAUGUUUAAUUCUAGUAGGAUUCUUGUUCUAAAAUGAACAUGAUAAAAUUACAAUAUGAGUUCAUAUUCACUCACUCACUGC